rnacentral:lncRNA from 1 species
CAAGGUGCCAGUUGUGAGCAGCCCAGACAAGAGGCCCAUGUGGCGGAGAGCUGGUGUCUCCAGGUAACAGCCAGUGAAGCAGGCUGCCAAGAGCCAGGAAUAUGGGCCUGAGGCAUGCAACCCCCUGCUGCCCCCACCCUGGGAAAGCUUCUAGUUCUCUCUAUAACCGACAAACUCCAAUCUACACAUACCACCCAGUAUUUUGAGCUGCCUACACUAAAGUUCAUCAUUCCGGAGACGUGCUCAUACUCUUUGAGUGUGGCCUCAGUCCGAUUCUACAACUAUAUGAAGUGCCUUCUUAAGCUCUGGAGCAUGAUGUCCGCUUCCAGAGGAACAAAUGUGAGUAAUCUAGGAAAUGUCACCACCUUUUGGAGUAAGAUCUGGGCAUAGAAGAGUGUUGCAUGCUG